rnacentral:lncRNA from 9 species
CGGCUGGGGCUGGACUCCGGAGGUUCACCUGAUGCUCCAUCUCAGCCUGGGGGCAAUGCCAAACACAUGCCUUGAGAGAUGGUCUAACUCUUUUUCAGCUUUUAUUUUAUUUUUUUUAAUGGCUGCACCCACGGCAUAUAGAAGUUCCCUGGCCAAGGACUGAAUCUGAUCCACUGCUGCGACCUAUACCACACCUGUGACAUUGCCAGAUUCUUUAACCCACUCUGUCGGGCUGGGGUUUGAACAGGUGGCUCCACAGUGACCCGAGCUGCUGCAGUUGGAUUCUUAACCCACUGCACCACAGCAGAAACUCUUUCUUCAACUUUGCUUCAUUCCAAAGGAGAAGUAUGUUUUCUCAACUGGUAAGAAGAAUGAGGAUGAGAUUCUGUAUGGCUGCCAGAAGCAGAGAUGGGGUAGUUGACAAGAGGUGCAAUGGACAGAUCUGGGGAUGUCACUUCUUUCACCUCCAGAGCCUGCAGUUUUCUCCCAGAGACAGAGCACCUGGGUGCCCCAGAGCCCUUGUGAGGAUGGCAGCUGAGGGCGCCCACGGGGGCAGGGGUGGCGGGCUAUGCCAGGGCUCAUACUGAGAUGCUGUCUUCAUCCCGCUGUCCAUGGGCUCCCUCCUGCCCUGACCCCAUCCCGUGACCACCUGAUCAUUCUGGGCACCAUUGCCAUGGGCCAGCCUGUUCAGCAGAUUCGAGUAACUCGCACACAGCUUUCCUUCCAUUCCCGUCUUUACCAUGACCUCUGGAGAGUAAAGGUCGUUUUUUGCUUAGCAGUUCUAGGCUUUGGGCCUGAAUUCUGGACCCAGUCUACAUGCAGAACAUCCCACAAGAGCUUCCCAUUAAGAGGACUUAACCACCAGAUUGGGAACCAGCAUGAGGAAGUUUCCAAGCCUGGGAUGGAACCUGUACCACAGCAGUGACAACGCUGGAUCCUUACCCUCUAAGGCCACCAAGGAACUCUUCCGAUUUCUCCUUUGCUUUUCUCCUCUUACAUUUCAAGAAUUCCCUUUGAAUAAUUUCAACCUUGUAUCAACUAGUCCAAGACAAAAAGUAAUUGACCACACUCCAGGGAUGGUGCAGAAGUGAGACCAGCCCUCUGGGGUGGGGACAGCAAGGCUGCCCCUGAAACUGACAGCACUAACAGCCUGAACCCAGCCAACACACAGACUGGGACUUGAACCCUCGUGCCGAGACUCGAACCCGGCCUAAAGCCAGAUUGGGACUUGAACCCAUGGUUUUAAAUUAAAAUCACUCACCCGGUGUCUGGACUCCCUGAUGUUCCAGUUAUUCAUGCCUCCAUGCAGAAGGAAUUCAGCAAGAGACAAAGUGAUAGACAAGAAAUGGAAUUAUUAGAAUAGGAUGCUUGUGAGAGAUGCAAGCAGGCAGGCAAGGAGGCUCUGCCCUGAGGAUCUGGUGGGCUAGUUUUAUUAUCCAAGGGGAGUGGGGGGUCAGAAAAGACUGCCUCUUCCUCUUUCUUUGAGUAGUAGCUCCUCCUUGGUAUCCAGUAAGGUGUGUAUUCAAAUCAACAGAAGGGUGGUCCUCAAACUCCAGCUCUAGGUCUGAAUCUAAAUGCAGACCUCCUCCCAUCCCCCACCCAACAUCUGGCGCCUCCACUAGUCAAGCAAGCCUGCUUCGUUCUGAUGGCUUUCUUGAGCAAUCGUUAACUUACAGUAAUCUCCCAACAUCCCAUAGGUUUCCUGCUCUAUCUGUGAUCCUUUAUUGGGAAUUUCUACAGCUACCUGUGCCUACUCCAUCCCUAUCACUCCCACUGGAGAAUGGGUGCCGCUUAGCAGACCGUGCCAAGCAGUGACAUCCAGGGAUCCCUGCCUGCCUGGGGUGCUCUCCCGGGACCGGGCGGGAGGAACUGCUCCAGGGGUGAACAAACUGAACCAAAGUCUUUGUCUGGGCACCUCCUUUGCCUUCCUUUCUAGGGACUCAUUCUGGCUCCCUGGUCACGUUUGAUCUGUUCAUAUGAUAAAAUAAGAGACUGGUAAUACUGCUGUUCCAUGCCUCCCAGUUUGCAUAUUAAUAACAACAUUUACAUUCUUAACAAAAAGCUUCCGGAGAUUGUGCUGAACUAAAGGCUGGGAGCAGAUAACUCAGUCACAGCCAGAGGGUGUCUGGCUGGAGCUGGCCAUCCAUUACUGUGACCGGUAGGGCUGAGGCCUUUGUCUAGCAUUUGUCCAGUUUGAGCCACUGCUCUGUGCACACCACCCUGGAAUCAGCUUCCAGAGGCACCAUCGGAUAAGAGGUUUGCCAAGAUGCCCCCGAGACUCAGGGGACCUGAAGUGCACAGGGCCAGUGAGGAGACCCCUGGGACCAGGUUAAAGAUCAGUGAGCACCCGCCUGGUCCUGCGCAGGUUGUCUGCUACGUGGGUUUGUGCACAAGGGAAGCUGGGGUUCUGGAAACCUGAGUUGGAGGAGAACGGUGAGAAAUCAGGUCAAGACAGAGCAGGGGCUUCAGGAAAAAUGUGUCCCUGGCUGCUUCCUGUGUUGACAGCCAGAGGCAGGGCAGACUCAAGCCCGCUCUGGACUGACAGAGGGGGGCCCUGGGGCAGAACCCUGGGGGGUGUCUGACUUCCGGAGGCAGUCUGGGCCUGAAGUGCUCUGGGGGAGGAGAAAGUGGCACUUCACUGUGGGCUGAACCCGGUUAUACAAUCCCCUUGGUGAAUAUAUAGGUGCGGGGCCUCUGCCCAGGAUCCCCAGGAUGGGUUCCCUGCCCCUCCCCAUCGCAGGGGAGGGUUACUCUUCUUUGCAUAUUUCCGUGCCCAGCGCAGUGUCUGGCUCACCAUAAAUUCACAGUCUAGGUCUAAUCAAUAUUUACUGAGAUCCCACUGUGUUCUGGGAAUAUAGGGGUGAGUGACAUGGUGAUGGAGCAGACAGACAGUGAGAAAGGAUGCGACGGACACGGUCGUUUCCGAGGGCUCUGUGAAUAGAGCGGUACUGGGGCUGUCAGGGUGGUAUCUGUCCUUGAUACCCAAGGACAAGAAAGCCAGCUGCACAACUGUGU